rnacentral:rRNA from 1 species
UACGGGGGGGGGCAAGCGUUGUUCGGAAUCACUGGGCUUACAGGGUGCGUAGGCGGCUUGUUAAGUAGGGUGUGAAAGCCCCCGGCUCAACCGGGGAAUGGCGCCCUAAACUGGCGAGCUGGAGUGAGAUAGGGGUGUGCGGAACUUCCGGUGGAGCGGUGAAAUGUGUUGAUAUCGGAAGGAACGCCGGUGGCGAAAGCGGCACACUGGAUCUCAACUGACGCUGAGGCACGAAAGCCAGGGGAGCGAACGGG